UCUUUUUCUCACUGUACAUGAGGCCAAAUAUCUAUUCUUCCAUUCAUUUCCAUUUAUCUUCCUUUCCAACGAAGAAUCCCUACCAAUCCUCUCUCCAUAUUUUCCCCUUUCUUCCUAAACAGAGAAAGGCAUGUGUGUUUGAGACAGCAAGCGAGCUGGAUUUUGGUGGGUCUCGAUUUUCUUGGAUACUGUCUUUUGGUUAUGUAUCCACCGAUGAGGUCGCUUCACGGUGUUUCGAAUUGGAUUCGGCGGACAGCGGUGGCUGCCAAAGGUGAAAGCGUUUCUGGUGGUGGUGAGUGGCAUGGCAGCAUUGGUGCUUCUCCGUGUUAUUGUUUAAGAUCAUGACAAUCUUUUUCUAGCCUCCGAGGUUGUUCAUUCCAUCGGAAUUUCAAUUCUUAUAUACAAGCUCAUGAAGGAGAAAACUUGAGCUGGUACUAAACUUUUUUUUUUGUUCACCUUUAUACGUUAUGACUUGUUAAAUAUCUAAACUUGCGUUUUUGGAGGAUAUAUGUUGUGACUUAUUAAAUAUCUACACUAACUUUUUUGGAGGAUAAGGAAAAAAUCUUCUCUUUAUGAACCCCAUAAUGAAGAGAAAAUUCAGUGAA